UACGUAGGGGGCUAGCGUUAUCCGGAAUUACUGGGCGUAAAGGGCGAGUAGGCGGCUUGUUAAGUCAGGUGUGAAAUUCCAAGGCUCAACCUUGGAACUGCGCUUGAAACUGGCAGGCUUGAGGACAGGAGAGGGAAGUAGAAUCCCCGGUGUAGCGGUGAAAUGCGUAGAUAUCGGGGGGAAUACCAGUGGCGAAGGCGGCUUCCUGGACUGUACCUGACGCUGAGGAGCGAAAGCUAGGGGAGCAAACAGGAUUAGAUACCCGCGUAGUCCCUGAG
rnacentral:rRNA from 1 species